rnacentral:tRNA from 1 species
GUGCCUGUAGCUCAGCUGGAUAGAGCAUCGGCCUUCUAAGCCGCUGGUCAUAGGUUCGAUUCCUAUCAGGCACG